GUAGGGGCCUAGCGUUGUCCGGAUUUAUUGGGCGUAAAGAGCUCGUAGGCGGUUCGGUAAGUCAGGUGUGAAAUCUCCACGCUCAACGUGGAGGCGCCACCUGAAACUGCCGUGACUCGAGUCCGGUAGGGGAGUGUGGAAUUCCCGGUGUAGCGGUGAAAUGCGCAGAUAUCGGGAGGAACACCAGUGGCGAAGGCGGCACUCUGGGCCGGUACUGACGCUGAGGAGCGAAAGCGUGGGGAGCGAACAGGAUUAGAUACCCUGGUAGUCCACGCCGUAAACGUUGGGCACUAGGUGUGGGACUCUAUCGACGGGUUCCGUGCCGUAGCUAACGCAUUAAGUGCCCCGCCUGGGGAGUACGGCCGCAAGGCUAAA
rnacentral:rRNA from 1 species